ACUCAAAGGAAUAGACGGGGGCCCGCACAAGCGGUGGAGCAUGUGGUUUAAUUCGACGCAACGCGAAGAACCUUACCUGGGCUCGAACGGCUGUGGACCAUCUCUGGAAACAGGGACUUUCCGCAAGGAAUCACAGUCGAGGUGCUGCAUGGCUGUCGUCAGCUCGUGUCGUGAGAUGUUGGGUUAAGUCCCGCAACGAGCGCAACCCUUGUCCUGUGUUGCCAUUGAUGGAACUCGCAGGAGACCGCCAGGGAUAACCUGGAGGAAGGUGGGGAUGACGUCAAGUCCUCAUGGCCUUUAUGUCCAGGGCUACACACGUGCUACAAUGGACGGUACAGAGCGCUGCCAACCCGCGAGGGGGAGCUAAUCGCAAAAAACCGUUCUCAGUUCGGAUUGCAGGCUGCAACUCGCCUGCAUGAAGCUGGAAUCGCUAGUAAUGCUAUAUCAGAACGAUAGCGUGAAUACGUUCCCGGGCCUUGCACACACCGCCCGU
rnacentral:rRNA from 1 species